CUCUAAAAUUCUGUGUCACACGCACUCGGCGGCGGCCACUGUGUAGACUGGAUUCAGCUCGCUCGCUCCUCGCUCCGCUUCCUCUGCAACCAUGUCUGACAAACCCGAUAUGGCUGAGAUUGAGAAAUUCGAUAAGUUGAAAUUGAAGAAGACAGAAACGCAAGAGAAAAAUCCACUGCCUUCCAAAGAAACGAUUGAACAGGAGAAGCAAGCAGGCGAGUCGUAAUGAGACGUGCGCC